rnacentral:rRNA from 1 species
UACGUAGGGUGCGAGCGUUGUCCGGAAUUACUGGGCGUAAAGAGCUCGUAGGUGGUUUGUCGCGUUGUCCGUGAAAACUCACAACUCAAUUGUGGGCGUGCGGGCGAUACGGGCAGACUGGAGUACUGCAGGGGAGACUGGAAUUCCUGGUGUAGCGGUGGAAUGCGCAGAUAUCAGGAGGAACACCGGUGGCGAAGGCGGGUCUCUGGGCAGUAACUGACGCUGAGGAGCGAAAGCAUGGGUAGCGAACAGG